UGGGUUCCGGUUCACGGCUCUGGCGAGGUCAGAGGCGACCCGGCGACC
rnacentral:ncRNA from 1 species